AUUCAGACAUGUUCAUGAUGUCAAUGUUGGUACUUGGAUGAUGCAGCCUUAUAGUUUUGUUUUACACACCAUCCUGAACUACUAUAUCUAGUGACUGUUCAAUAUUAUGAAUACAGAGAUGGAAUGCUGACACUCUAAAUUUAUGCAGAAACAUUUUGCAUUAAUUGGUUUCAAAUAUUAUUGCUUUAUACUUUUGCUGUUCUACUAAAAUAAGAACAGGAGCACCAGGAACAGACAUAAAGGCGUCAGUUACGUAUCAAUAUUUUGAAUAAAAGGAGGACAUUCUGGCACCCCCAAUUUAUGCGAAC
rnacentral:lncRNA from 1 species